UACGGAGGGUGCAAGCGUUAUCCGGAUUCACUGGGUUUAAAGGGUGCGUAGGCGGCUAUAUAAGUCAGUGGUGAAAGCCCGCAGCUCAACUGCGGAACUGCCAUUGAAACUGCAUAGCUUGAAUCUGGUUGAAGUGGGCGGAAUACAUCAUGUAGCGGUGAAAUGCUUAGAUAUGAUGUAGAACACCGAUUGCGAAGGCAGCUCACUAAGCCAAUCAUUGACGCUGAGGCACGAAAGCGUGGGUAGCGAACAGG
rnacentral:rRNA from 1 species